GGGAAGGGAAGGGAAGGGAAGUAAAAAUUAUAGGGAAAUGCGUAAAAGUUACAAGCUUUUAAUUAAAAAUAGAAAUGGAGUGACACCAAACAAAAUAUAGGAAUUAAGUUGAUUUAAGUAUGGGUGGUUUUGUAUUUGAAAUCUGAAAGGAGAAACAGAAAUUACAAGAAGAAGAGUAAGACUGAGUUCCGAUGAUGGCCUUCUCUUCCUGCCUCUUAUCCAAAUCCUGACAAGGAUCUUAUUGAAAAGCAAGGAAGAAGAAUUGAAUUAGAUUAUUGCGGGGCUCAGGAAAAACUAUGCUUAUUUACAAGAGAAAUUUACGAAAUAAGACUUGG